rnacentral:rRNA from 1 species
CCUACGGGAGGCAGCAGUGGGGAAUAUUGCACAAUGGGGGAAACCCUGAUGCAGCGACGCCGCGUGGGUGACGAAGUAUUUCGGUAUGUAAAGCCCUAUCAGCAGGGAAGAAGAUGACAGUACCUGACUAAGAAGCCCCGGCUAACUACGUGCCAGCAGCCGCGGUAAUACGUAGGGGGCAAGCGUUAUCCGGAUUUACUGGGUGUAAAGGGAGCGUAGGUGGCAUGGCAAGCCAGAAGUGAAAACCCGGGGCUUAACCCCGCGGAUUGCUUUUGGAACUGUCAGGCUGGAGUGCAGGAGGGGCAGGCGGAAUUCCUGGUGUAGCGGUGAAAUGCGUAGAUAUCAGGAGGAACACCGGUGGCGAAGGCGGAUGACUGGACGGCAACUGACGGUGAGGCGCGAAAGCGUGGGGAGCAAACAGGAUUAGAUACCCGAGUAGUC